rnacentral:rRNA from 1 species
AGUCGAACGGCAGCACGGGAGCAAUCCUGGUGGCGAGUGGCGAACGGGUGAGUAAUAUAUCGGAACGUGCCCAGUCGUGGGGGAUAACGCAGCGAAAGCUGUGCUAGUACCGCAUACGAUCUAUGGAUGAAAGCGGGGGACUCGUAAGGGCCUCGCGCGAUUGGAGCGGCCGAUAUCAGAUUAGCUAGUUGGUGGGGUAAAAGCCCACCAAGGCGACGAUCUGUAGCUGGUCUGAGAGGACGACCAGCCACACUGGAACUGAGACACGGUCCAGACUCCUACGGGAGGCAGCAGUGGGGAAUUUUGGACAAUGGGCGCAAGCCUGAUCCAGCAAUGCCGCGUGCAGGAUGAAGGCCUUCGGGUUGUAAACUGCUUUUGUACGGAACGAAACGGCGAGCUCUAAUAAAGCUCGCUAAUGACGGUACCGUAAGAAUAAGCACCGGCUAACUACGUGCCAGCAGCCGCGGUAAUACGUAGGGUGCAAGCGUUAAUCGGAAUUACUGGGCGUAAAGCGUGCGCAGGCGGUGAUGUAAGACAGAUGUGAAAUCCCCGGGCUCAACCUGGGACCUGCAUUUGUGACUGCAUCGCUAGAGUACGGUAGAGGGGGAUGGAAUUCCGCGUGUAGCAGUGAAAUGCGUAGAUAUGCGGAGGAACACCGAUGGCGAAGGCAAUCCCCUGGACCUGUACUGACGCUCAUGCACGAAAGCGUGGGGAGC